rnacentral:rRNA from 1 species
AGAGCGAACGCUGGCGGCAGGCCUAAUACAUGCAAGUCGAACGGACCCUUCGGGGUUAGUGGCGGACGGGUGAGUAACACGUGGGAACGUGCCCUUUGGUUCGGAACAACUCAGGGAAACUUGAGCUAAUACCGAAUGUGCCCUUUGGGGGAAAGAUUUAUCGCCAUUGGAGCGGCCCGCGUCUGAUUAGCUAGUUGGUGAGGUAAAGGCUCACCAAGGCGACGAUCAGUAGCUGGUCUGAGAGGAUGAUCAGCCACACUGGGACUGAGACACGGCCCAGACUCCUACGGGAGGCAGCAGUAGGGAAUCUUGCGCAAUGGGCGAAAGCCUGACGCAGCCAUGCCGCGUGAAUGAUGAAGGUCUUAGGAUUGUAAAAUUCUUUCAGCGGGGACGAUAAUGACGGUACCCGCAGGAAGAAGCCCCGGCUAACGUUCGUGCCAGCAGCCGC